UGUUGUUCAAGAGUGUCUUGACACAAGGAGUGCGACAGCUGAAACCCAUGUCUUGCAUACGUCUGUCCAGCCUCUUUUGCAAUGACCUUUUGUGUCUUGUCCUCCUUGUGCAAGGUGUUAAUGGUCAUCUUUUGGACAACUGUGAAGUCAGCAGUCUUCCCCAUGAUUGUGUAGCCUACAGAACUAGACUGAGAGACCAUUUAAAGGCUUUGCAGGUGUUUUGAGUUAAUUAGCUGAUUAGAGUGUGACACCAGGUGUCUUCAAUAUUGAACCUUUUCACAAUAUUCUAAUUUUCUGAGAUAAUGAAUUUGGGAUUUUCCUUAGUUGUCAGUUAUAAUCAUCAAAAUUAAAAGAAAUAAACAUUUGAAAUAUA